rnacentral:lncRNA from 1 species
UUGUGAUAAAAGUAGUUCAAAACACAACUCUGUGGAAGAUAAUUCCAUGUCUGCAUCAGUGAAAUCACAACUUGAAGAUAUAUGCAAGCCAUAUGUUGUGGAUUUAGGAGUACCGUAUUCUACGAAUAAUUCACCGAAAUAUAUUGAAACGAACAUUGAUGCUCCUAAUGAUGAGAUUGUUUCAAUACCUCCUUCAAAUCGCAGGAAGAGUUCUGGAAACUCUUUGCUGUCUUUCGUUAUGCCCAAUACUCCUACAAGACAGAAAUUCACUUCCCCUAUUGCACGAAUUGAUAGUUUUCAUAGUGAGGAUUUCGAUAAUAUUGACGGAUAUGAGAAUGAAAUGUCAAUCAAAUUCGACAACUCCUGGUUCUGUAAAUACUCCCACUUUUCCUUGUUUUGCCUAUAAACUUCAGCUACAUAAAAAGAAGAAUGGUAAAUUAAAGUCAUCUAAACAGAAAGAAGAGAAUGAGAUAAAUGUCAAUGACCAAAAGAAUGACAGAUGUUCGAGGUGAGAGAGGUUUUUCUCACUGAUUGAUUAUAUUUGUUAAAUAUAAGAAGAUGUGGUAUGAGUGCCAAUGAGACAACUUUCCACAAGAUACCAAAUGACACAGAAAUUAACAACUAUAGGUCACUGUAUGGCUUUCAACAAUGAGCAAAGCCCAUACUGCAUAGUCAGCUAUAAAAGGCCCAGAAAUGACAAAUGUAAAACAACUCAAACGAGAAAACUAACGGCUUAAUUUAUGUACAAAAUUGAACGAAAAACAAAUAAUUAACACAUCAACAAACGACAACCACUGAAUUACAGGCUUCUGACUUCGGACAGGCACUACAUACAGAAUGUGGCCGGGUUAAACAUGUUGGAGGGAUAUAUUUGUUGCAUGAUUUCUGAUGAAUAUUGUCCCAGUCAGAACUUCAGCCUGCUAUUAAGGAAUGCAAUGGGCUAAGGCCUGUUGUUUCUAGCAGCAGCUUCAACAGUGUAUUAGUUUGUGAUUAGGGUUUUGACAUUUAUUUAGCUGUUCAUUGAACAUAGAAAUGUAUCAGGCUUUAAUUAUUGUUUUAAGAUACAAUGCAAUAGUUUAACAUAAAGUUGUGAUCACAUCACCUUGAAACUUAAAACAUCAUAAUUAUAAUAUGAAUUAUUAUAACAAUUGUGUCCGAUAAGAAAUUCUUAAAAGAACUGAAAAUAAAAAAAAGGAUAGUAAAAUUAAAUUUAACGUAAGUUGUACAAAACAGCUUGUUAUAUGUGUCAUAAAACUAGUAAAAUUCUUAUGGACAAUUUUUACAUUUACAAUCUGUUAAUUGACUGUGUGAUAUUUGAAAGUACCAAGAUGUAAGUACAGAAUAAAUAAGGAAAUGUGCUAUGAUUGCCAAUAAAACAACUAUACACUCAAGUUCAAAUGAGGUGGAUGUAAGGAAUUAUAGGUCACAGUAUAUAGAAUGAGAAAAACCAAUACAGUAUAGUCAGAUAUAAAAGGUCUCGACAUGAAAAAUAUGAAACUACCUGUCUAACUUAUAACAAAACAUGAGGUUUAAUAUACUCAACAAAGGUACAUUGUUUACUUCAUAUUUUAUUAGUACAUUUUGCUUUCUUAUCUUAGAUUAGUCUUGAUUUUUACUGUGGAUGCCAUUGUUUGUUUCUGUUGGUGUCAAUUAAGUUUUGUGGUGGAAAAGAAUAUGGUAUUUUUUCUAAUUCUUGCUCCUCAUAUAAAAAAAGAUACCAAUACCUUUAGAGAUUGCCACUAGAGAAAGAGAGAAGGAUGCAAAAGGAAGAAACAGGGCUUGCAACCCUGACUAAAGAACUAAUAGAAAAAGACAAAAAGCUGAAGAUGAAUUUCAUCUUUUCUUAGUUUAUAGUUGAUUUAUUUUGAUUGUAGGAAUGACAUUGAGGCCACCUGUUCAGAUCCAUUGUUAGUCGGAUCAGGAAGUGAUAAAAGUACAUCUGAUGAAAACUCUGACAAGCCUCUUCAUAGUAGUAAAGCCAAAAUCCAUCCUAUGGACAAAGGUUAGUGUCCAAGCACCCGGACAAUAGUUAUAGUUGCAAUUUUAUAAAACAAACAGGAUAUAAACUUGUUGUAAUGUUCUUUCAAUUUUUCAUUUCAAUUAAAAUUCUGAGUUUCACAGUUCAAAAUGGAAGUCUUUCUUUGUCAGGUGUAAAAACACUAUACAUGGAUGCAGUUAAAGUAUUCUGUAGUUAACAAUAAAAAAAAAUGCUCUUUUCCUUUGCCAUGCAGAGAUAUAUAUUAUGAUAGUUGUGAAAUAAUAUACUACAUGUUUUUACAUAUAAUUUAUUAUUCACUGCUAUCAAAAUAUACACAAGAAAACUCAAAAGCAUUAAACACUGAGAAUUUUGAAGAACAGAGGACACUUUCAUCUUGUCAAUUGCCUGAGAGUAAACACAUGUACAGUGAUAUUUUAUUUCAUAAUUAUCAAAAUACCAAUGGUUUUAAUAGUGAAAAGAACAGCUAAGUUGAAUUGAAAGCUGUACUUUCCUACUAAAAGAUUGUAUGAAAUAUGACAACAAUAUUCUGUAAUGAAUGAAUUCUUCACAGUAGUAGCAUAAAUGUAGAUGACAUAAGUUCCAAGCUUUGGCAGGGGAAUAAACUUCAGAAUAAAAUCAUUUGCGAUUGCAAAAUGCUGUCAGGGUUGAUGAAGAUGUAAAUAAAGUGUGAUUUUUCUUUCAGAUGACAAGGACUCCACAAAAAGCUGCAAAUCUUUAAACAAAUCUAAAUGUACUGUUGAUUCUGACCCUAUCUGUAAUGAUAUACAGGUGAAAAAACAACAGGUAAGGAUGGUGCUCAGGGUGGCAGCUACCACAUAGUCAGCACUGUAGAAUUAUGUCAUUAGAUGUGUAUAGCAAUCACAGUGCUUUAUAUACUCAAAUAUUAACUUACUUUGUGCAAUGUCUGUAGACAUUUUCAUUUAGGAUAUUUUUAAGACCGAAAUGGACAAUUUUUGAGGCCUUCAAAAUAACCACAUCUAAAUAGAUAUCAGUAUAACACAGUGAAACAAAUAUCAUAUUAUCAGUAAAUAUCAACAUUUCUUUUUCAUGACAUGUUAAACUUGGCCAAUAACAAUUUGGCUAGAAUUUUACAGAGAGUUUGCAAACCCUUCCACUAUGAUUUGUUUAAAUGAGAUGUUUUCCCAUUUUGCUAUUUUAUAACUUGAUAUCUAGUUGAAAUGCUGCUGACCCAUAUUUUUUGUCAUCAUCUUUUCUGGAAUAGUCAAGAUUGACAUUUAUUUAUGGCAUUUUUGAAAAUUUUCUAAACUAGCUUAUAGCAUGGUGAUGUGAAGCAAGCAAAAGGACAGGCAGGGAAAAGAGGAUACAUAAUUAUGGUUACCUCCUACAGCUUUUUACUCAAACCUCAAUCCAGUCAUUAAGUUUUUUAUUCAUUUAUAAAUAUUAUUUUACCAGUUUUCAACAACUUAUUCAUAUAACUUUCAAUUUUAAAAAAAAGGGGUAUUUUUUUUUUAUUUACUCUAUAAUUUUAGAGUUAUGAGUUAAGAUAGGGGAGCUUCACUAUAUUUUAUUUAUUAAAGGGUUUCCAAAGCAGUGAUUCAAACAUGUUUCAACACUCUGUGGUUGUAUCAUGCUGUCGGCAAGCAUAGCCCUUUAAACUGAUCCAGUUUUUAUUAGGUCAGUAUUUUUCAUGUUAAGAAAAACUUUACACAAACUUUUAUUUUAAGCAGGUAACACCCUAUUAGUAGUCCCCAUCUGCCCUCUGCUCUCAAAAGGUGUAUACUCUUUAGAUAUCAAUGGGAGUCUUACAAUAUAUUCAACAUUUUGGAAAUUCCCUCUUAAUACAGGGAUUACUUCUGCACCAAAUCAAUCUAAUUGAGCAAUUUUCUGGAACAAAUUUCCAGCUUGCUUAACUAUAUUUGAGGAAUAGUUGGAUUAUCUUGUUAAGCAGGGUAAGCGAUACAGACAGGUUUUUUUUUAAGCCUUUUCAUCAUUUUCAAUACCAGUUUCUUUUGUAUAGAAGUAAGUUUUAAAAGUUAUGAAAAAAUCUAAUUGGAAACCAAUUUCAGGAGACAGCAUAAACAUUUUGUAAGUUGAAUAAAUUCAUUUCUAUCUUGCCACCACAAAUUAUAUUAAGCUAUAUUAACUAAUCAUUACAAUAGCAUGAUCUUCUCUCUUGAUGGUGCAUAGAAAUGCAUGUCAGAAAUAUUAAUCAACUACUGUACGCAGCUGAAUUACAAACACACUGGUAAAACUGAAAUUGUCAAAAGAUGUCUUUUGUAUGUAUGGAGAAAUUAUGGGUUUGAUAUGUAUGGGGGAAAAAAUAAUAUUGAAACUAGUUAAUGUUUGUGUGUUUAAUCAUAUAUUUGAUGCUUUUUUUAGCAUCAUGUUGAGUAUUUUGCUAUUUUUGCUAUUUUAAGAAAUGAAAAUUACGUUAUCAUAACCAUGAUUACUAAUUUUUUUUCUUUGGGGGAAAAAGAGGGGGGGGGGGGGCAGUAAUCCCAUUUAAAUUAAUCUGUAAGGAAGCUAACUCAGGUUUUUUUUAUAUGUUUCCUCUUAAAUUUCAGGUUUUUUUUAUGUAUAUUGAUUGCUUAAAUGUUGGAUAGAACAAUUUAAAAAAAAAAUAACAAAUAUUGAAUAGUAAGGACUCUAUCAACUCUAGUGCUACUAGCAUCUAUGAAACACCAUACAAUUUGUAUCUGUUACCAUUUGAUAUUCAAAGAAUUGUUUCCAUGGCAUGUAAUGCAUAUAUAAUAUUAUCAAUAUUUGAUUUUUUAUUUAUCAUUAUAUAUAUAUGCCUUUCUUUUUUCUUUUUUUUCCAUACCACUUUUAAAAAAAAAAAAAAAUUUGAUAAUAAAUGUUUUUCUCAUUUUUUUGUUCUUUUUUUACAAUCUGUGAUUGUUAUAUUGGGGAAAUUUUUAGUCUUUAAAAGUCACAAAAAAAGGUUUUAUAAUUAAUCCUUUUGUUACGAAUAUAUGUGUAAUGAUUGUCACCUAGGUUACUGGUCAUGUGAUGGGUUUUAUUAUUAUAUAUUGUAAUUUUUGUAUACUUUCUUGCAUUUGCUUUUUUAAUGUUGAUGUUUCAAUGACUUUAAACAAAAAGCUUUAUGAAAAACUUGUAUUUGAUUUUUUCUUGAAUGUUUAAAAUGUAGGCAGUAUAAUAUAUAAAUUCACUACACUUUAGACAUUUAGGGAGGAAAUAUUCAGAGACGUUGCCUUCCAUUUACUCGUUUUAAGUAAGAUAUAUGUACUUUAUCUAUUUGUCAGACUUUCAUGAAAUUUUUUCUGUAAUAUAAAAGAAUUAGGAGUGUUUAGAAUUCAAAAAAGGAUUUUAAAAGAUAUUGUAAAUUAAAAAUUGGAAAACAAUUAAAAUACAAUAAAAGUGUAUCCUACAUGGACAUAAAUCAUAUUAGUAUUUACUGUUAUCAAAGUUUCAAAUUUUCAAAAAGAAAAAUUUUAAUUUUAACAGAUGAUGGAUUAGGACCUAUAAAUCUAGAUUUCUAAUCAAGAAUCAUAGAAGUAAAUAAGAUACAUAGUUUUUAAAAUCCUACAAUUUAGUUUUUUACUGCUGUCUUGAGUUGUAUGGAGGGCUUGAUAAUACUGCUAAGAGAUAAGGUUUUGCUUUAAAUAAGACUAGCAUUGGAGUUAGGGAAGUGGUUUGGGAAAGAUUUAGAUUAAGCAAAAUUAUAUCAUUACACAAAGUAAAAAAGUUCUGUUAUUUUAUAACCAAUAAUGUGGUAAGACAAGAUUUUAAAAGAUCAAUAUUUUGUAUUUUAAAUGUUUAUUGUUUGUGGUUUGAACUUGUUUAAAGUUGGGCUGUGUUUUUGUUGAAGCAAUGAAAAGAGUAUUUUACUCUAAUCAAAAACCCUUUUUUUUUAAAUUUCCCAUAUGAAUUUAGUGUUAUUGACUUUGAAGUAAACUGUUUCAAGAAAAUUGACCCUUACUUUAAAAUACCUUCAGAAACUCUAUAUUAAUCCAAAUAUAAAUGAUAAGCAUUAUAUAAGAAUUUUGACUAGGUAGAUUUAAAGUGGAAAAUAUAUAAUAAGAAGUAAAUGUGGUUCUUUACAUGUGUUCUUGCUUUCAUUUUCAUCACACAUGCUGCAAUGCAGAGUGUUCAGAUUUAGUUCUGCUGUCCAAUAAGCUUGCACAGCUUUAUGCUUUUUCUUACCACAGUCUAUCUAUAUUUAGACUUUAAUUUCAAGAUUAGAAAUAUAUUCACUUCAUAUAUCAUAGCUUUAUAGUGACUUUUUUCUUUCAUUUUCCCUCAUGCUGCAGGCAUUUUGAUCACAUGACCAGCCCUCAGGUAAUCCAUUCACAUAUUAUGCAUCCCAGGAUUCCAUGAAAAUGGUCUCUCUGCAAUGUCACAUGUUUGCUUUUUAAUAACCAUUGAAUAAUUACUCAUUUCUGCUUCUCUUAAAUCUCUUCAGUUGCAAACUGUCUUGACUAUCUACCUCAAAGCAUGAACUCUCUGAACGUUUAACUCCUGAUUUUUUUGAUAGAAAUGUGAUCUGAAUGUGCUAAAUUUUAUACAUUUUCAAUAUAUAGGUGUACUGAGUGAUGCAUGUUUAAAAAAAAGAAAUUUUAGGCUUCAGAGUAUUGUUCAUAAAUAUGUCAAAGGUCAAGAAUUUAUUAAUUCACAUUUCAUAUUUUAAACAUAAUUUCCACUUUUGUCAUCAUAACCAGUAGACUUGGUAGUACUAUUCUUGUUUUUUGGGGUAGUCAAACACUUUUUUUUAAGCUUUUUAUAAAUAGUCUAUUUGAACUUAAAUGUAGAACACAAAUAUAUGAAGUCCAAUAUAUAUACCAUACUAUAUAAACGAGUCUAAAUUGAAAACUACGUUCAAACCUAUGAUUGCGUUGGAUAAAAACCGCAAUUUUUAUACUGUGUGCAUGUAACAAAUUUCGAUGUAGAAGGGUCUAAAAAAGCACAAACAACAUUUCCAAAAGACCAAAAAAUGAAAAAUAUUUUAAACAAAACGCAUUGACUUACAGGUCGAACAACCUGAUGUUCUUUACCCUGCUGACUGCAUUGCGAUUGCCAAUAAAUUGAUCACAAGAUGUAACAAUGGAUUUAAUAUAAUUUAAUACUAAACAGAAAAAAUAAUUCAACUUGUGGCCACGAUGUUAUGCCACAAACAUACGGUGUCAAUAUUUUUUUAGUACACCAGAUCCGGAUUUCGACAAUAAAUGUCUCUUCAGUGAUGUUAGGUCGAAACGGUAUUUGGAAGGCCAUAAAAAGUACCCUCAUUUUUAGAAAAAGUACCCUCAUUUUUAGAUAAACUCUUGAAUUUUAAGAGUCAAUAUAGGAUGAACGGAUCAUAUAAACCGGAGGGAAAAUAUGAUAACAAACCCAAACGAAAAAAUAUAAACGAAAAAUGAAACUACGUUCAAACUAUGUUGCGUUGGUAAAACCGCCAAUUUUUACAGCGGUGCAUGUAAAACAAAUUUCGAUGUAAAAGGGUUAAAAACAGCACACAACAUUUUCCAAAAGAAGAAAAGUGAAAAAGUAUAUUAAACAAAACGCAUUUGAACUAACAGGUCGAACAACUGAUGUUCUUUAACCCUGCUGACUGCCAUUGCGAUUGCCAAAUAAAAUUGAUCACAAGAUGUAACAAAAUGAUUUAAUAAAAUUUAAUACUAAACAGAAAAUAACACCGUAUGUUUUGGCAUACAUCGGUGGCACAAGUUGAUUAUUUUUCUGUUUAAGUAUUAAAUUUAUAUUAAGAUCCAUUUUGUUACAUCUUGUGAUCAAAUUUUUUGGGCAAUCGCCAAUGGCAGUCAGCAGGUUAAAGAACAUCAGUUGUCGACCUGUAAUCAAAUGCGUUUUGUUUAAAUAUACUUUUUCACUACCAUACUAUAUAUAUAUUUUUGUUAAAAUGUUCUGCUGUAAAGUUUUCUUUAUAAUGCCAGUUGGUUCACAAAGUAUGUAAGUGUAAUGUGUAUCACUCCUGUAAUGAAGUCAGAGGGUCUGAAUGGGGUUUACAGAAUAGAGAAUACUCAAGGUCAAGACAACAGAAAAAUGGACCAAAAAAUCCAUUACCGUUAAUAAGAAAAAUAGACCAAAAAACCCAAAGAAUAGAGAUUAAUGAGCUGCUAAAAUAUAAUGAACAGGAAAUCAGCAAAAUAGAUAACAAAUAGGAAAAGUGACAUAUUUUUUUAAAAAAAUAUACAGACUUGAAAGGACCUCACCGUCCAGACGCUCAGUCAGCAGGAAACAAAAACAAAUGGCACCACAAGGAAUAGAAAAUGAUAGAAAUAUACUAUCUAUUAUGUCUUAGCAUUUAUAUAAAAAAAAAAUACUUUGGGGGUUAUGGCUCAAACCAUUUAGGAAUUUGGGGCAAAAAAAAGGGGAAAAACAGGUUUUUCUGGUUACAGAGAAUUGAGACAAUUUUAAAGCAGUGUAAGGGAGAUAAUCCAAAUCAAUUUAAAGAACAAUGUUUUAUUCUCCUUACACUGCUGUAAAUUAGUUUCAGAAAGGAUGAUUGUCUUGAGGUGAUAAGCUGUCAAUUUAUUUUUAGCAGUUACAAUUAAUUAUAUUAAUGUUAGCCAUAUAGUAUGUCAUUUUAUAUUUUAAAAGGUUUAUGAUGUAUAUAAAUGGGUAAUUAUGGUUGCAAACUCCAUUAGAAAUUUGAAGUGAGAUAUUGACCAUAUCUUGAGGGAAAGAUUUUUUUCAGAAUAAGGGACAGGGGGAGGUGAAAAAAAUUUGAGAGGGGGGACAAUUUUUCUCAUUUCCGAUUUCAGAAAUGAAAAGAAAAUUCCUUCAAAUAUUUUUUUGGGGGGUGAAUUCGCAACAGCAUAGUGUAUUGCACAAAAGCAAAAAAAUGAAUAUAAAUUCAAAUCAUAUAAACAAUUUGAAGUUCUUUGACUACAGUUAUUCUAUGUCAGAAACCUGUCUGUGUCAAAAAUUUAGUUACAAUCCAAAUUCAGACCUGUAUCAAGCGUGAAUUUUGUGUCCAUUUUGGUCUCAACUUUUUAGGGUUGGACAUCUGCGGUCGUAUCCAGCUGCGCUCUGUGAAGCAAUUUAUUAAUUCAGUAUUGACUUCAUUGUAAUUGGUUAGAUAAAUAGAUAUUAAAUCCAGAUGCAUAUAUUUAGUCGUAAAUAAGCAUUUCAUACCCAAGUAAUUACCUGUAUAUGAUGAUAUUUAAUAAAUACUUUAAGGGAAUAUAAAUAUAGCUCAUGGAAAGAUUUUUAUGAAGUGUACUUGAAAAUGAACAAAGUAGGUUUAAUAUAAUAUAAUUUGUGGAAAUUUUCUGCUGAAAAUGGAGAGGGGGGAUUUAAUUUCCAUAUAAAAGCAAUUUUUUUUAAAGAAGAUAGAUUUUCAUUUUAUAUCAUAUCAUCUCCACAGAAUCUAAACAAAAUACUUAAAAAUAUUUACGAGAGCUGAAAUAUAUCUAAUUUUAAUUGUAAACUUUUUUCAUAGCUUGCUUUUCGGCUGCAAAUAAACAGGUUAAUCCUGAGAAUUUCGAAGAUAUUUUUUUAUUUCAGUCAUUCAAGAUACAGGAAUUAGCAGUUCUAUUUCAUAACAUUUGUUGUGUCACUAAUUUCAGAGUUAUAAAAACAAAUAUUUGCAUAAUUUCAUUAAUUUUAAUUUUCUUUCCAGAAUUUAAUAGGAAAACCAUGCAACUCUCAACUUUCGGAUAAUAAGAAAACUUGUGUGAAAUAUUCUCCAUGGAAACAUGGAUUUGUACAGUUUUUGAAGAAGAAAAAACAAGGACAAAGACAAGGUAGCCGGAAUAACAAUGACUCUUUUCGCUCUAACAAUCAUACUCUCUUAAAAACUAACCUAUCUAAUCAUAAUGGUCAUGCUCGCUGUUCUUACAAAGCUCUACCUAACUUGGAUGACAAUGGUUUGGAAGCCGAGACUCAGUUCCAGACUAAAUCACUAGCUGUUCGUCCAGGUUAGUACAAUUGGAAAAAAUACUUUAUUUGUUAGAUUUUGAAAAAAGUCUUCUCAAUGAAAAACAAAUUCAACUGACUUAGAUAUAUAAUGUGUUAGAUUUAAAAAUAGGUUUCCUGCAAUAAAAGAAACCAAAUUCAAUUCUAAUAACUUUCACAAGUAUGCCUAGAUCUAUAAGAUGGAUUAAAACUGAUAGCCUUCAUGCUUAAUUUCUUUGUAGACCGUAAUCAAUCUUGUACUGGAAAGGACAUUACCUUCCAACCAAAGUAUAUACCAUGGAAAGGACAUUACCUUCCAACCAAAGUAUAUACCAUGGAAAGGACAUUACCUUCCAACCAAAGUAUAUACCAUGGAAAGGACAUUACCUUCCAACCAAAGUAUAUACCAUGGCAAUGGUUAUAUCUGUAUUAUAUCUUGAAAAGUUCUGUUAGUAUGGAUCAUCUUUUGCCUGAGCCUAAGGGUGUCAGGGCUAGUCAAGUAACUAAUCUUCUGAUUUUUAUUCUGACGAUUCCUUUACACAGAAGAUUUUUUUUACUCAUCAUCUUGCUGUUGCCAAGUAAAAAAACUUUUCAAGAUUACAAAUUAUAUUGAAUUUUAUAAUUGAGAGUUUAUUUAUUGAUGUGCAAUGUGAUAUUUAGUCUGUGGGUUCUUUUAUCUAGAUUCUUUUAUUUUCAGAUACUUUAGAAAUCCGAUCAUCCCCUGUCCCUGGUCUAGCUCCAGCACAGCCAGCAACAAAAAUGUUUGAUUUUACAGUGUUAUCUACAGAAUCACCACAAGCAAACUCGUGCCUUCUUAGUUGGAAAGGAUGUCGUGACUGUACUGUAGGACAUGUACCGUCAGAUGAGGAGGUAUGACUUUUACUUUGUCAAAAUGGACAUAUGCAGCAAUCAGUAUUUACAUUCCAAUUUCAUAUCUUUUUUGUCUGGCUGGAUUUCAAAAUCCCAAAUAGGCUCACAGUAAAGUGAUGUCGUGGGUUGGUGGGUGGGGAAAAGUGGUUACCUAAUUCAUGUAUAAAUCAAAUUUUUAAAUCAACUCUUUAUAUAGUUUUCAACCUAGAUCCCUGAACUCACAGGAAGAUUGCUUGUUUGUUGGUAUAAAUCAGGUAUAUCGUGUGAUGAGUUUUCAGAUUCGUCUUUCAAUAACUUCCUGUUGACCAUCAAGUUUUUGGGCAGUGCAGUAGCUCACAGAUUCACUUGUUGACAUCUAUUUAAAAUAUAACCUAGAUAAGAUUAAUUUGAAUCAAAAUAUCUGCUUCAGGACAGUAAAUGUACUUUUUAAGAUUCUUUUGAAAUAUAACCCAGAUAAGAUUAAUAUGAACCAAAAUAUCUGUUUCAGGACAGUGAAUGUACUUUUCGUUUUGAACAGAGUGUUGAUGUAGCUAUCAAGACAAACAUGACAAUACAGAAUGUGCAGGAUGCAAAGACUUACACAGCUUACAAAUGUUCUCAUUCAUGACAGCACUUCUACAGUAUCAGGACGUACAAUUGGAUUAUCUCCCCUGUAUGUCAUUAUCUCCCUUUGGAACAAAAUAGGCUGUGCUGUAUCAUUGUCAUCUUCUAAUCAAACAUUUUUUUUUCAGACAUUUUUUUCUAUUUAGAACUCAGAUUGUUAGAUUGAACUUUAUAAUAUUUUUUGCCUUGUUAAAUUGG